rnacentral:lncRNA from 1 species
GACUCGAAACCGACAUUUAUUGUAUGGGGGGCCCCAAAACCGCCAUUUUUUACAUGGGAGAGACUCGAAACAGCCAUUUCUUUUGUGGGGAGACCCCGAAACCGCCAUUUUUUCUAUGGGGGAGACUGGAAACCGGCAUCUCUUGUGUGAGGGGGGCCCUGAAACCGCCAUUUAUUGUAUGGGGGGGACCUGAAACCGACAUCUUUUGUGGGAGGGGGCCCCGAAACCUCCGUUUUUUGUAUGGGGGGGCCCCGAAACUGACAUUUUUUGUGGGGGGGGGUCCCAAAAACCGCCAUUUUUUGUAUGGGGGGUACCUGAAACUGCCAUUUUUUCUAUGGGAGCGACUCGAAACUGCCAUUUUUUCUAUGGGGGGGCCCCGAAGCCGCCAUUUUUUCUAUGGGGGGCCCCGAAACCUCCAUUUUUUCUAUGGGAGAGACUCGAAACCGCCAUUUUUUCUAUGGGGGGCCUCGAAACUGCCAUUUUUUCUAUGGGGGGCCCCGAAGCCGCCAUUUUUUCUAUGGGGGGCCCCGAAGCCGCCAUUUUUUCUAUGGGGGGCCCCAAAACCGUCAUUUUUUCUAUGGGAGAGACUCGAAACCAACAUUUUUUCUAUGGGGGGCCCCGAAACCGCCAUUUUUUCUAUGGGGGGGCCCCCGAAACCGCCGUUUCUGGAUGCCGUGGGGCAGGAUUUGGUGUCAGACAGCCCGGAAUCCCCCCCAGCCAUCAAUGGGGCAGCCCCACAACCCGCCCCCCCCCGGCCCCAUAGAACCGAGUCCCAUCUAUGGGGCAGGAAAUGGGCCCCCCCCCGGCCCCACACGUCGGACCCACAUCCGGGCUGGGGAUUUCCAUUCUAUAAGGGGGGGGGUGAGGUAAUUAAUGACACGCUAACGAGGGCUGGGGUUGUGAUAAUUGUAUGUUAAUGAGGGCUGUCGUUAUGGAGGGGGGCUAAUUGCAUAUUAAUGAGGGCUGUCGUUAUGGAGGGGGGCUAAUUGCAUAUUAAUGAGGGCUGUAAUUA